rnacentral:rRNA from 1 species
CCUACGGGCGGCAGCAGUAGGGAAUCUUCCACAAUGGGCGAAAGCCUGAUGGAGCAACGCCGCGUGGGUGAAGAAGGUCUUCGGAUCGUAAAACCCUGUUGUUAGAGAAGAAAGUGCGUGAGAGUAACUGUUCACGUUUCGACGGUAUCUAACCAGAAAGCCACGGCUAACUACGUGCCAGCAGCCGCGGUAAUACGUAGGUGGCAAGCUUUAUCCGGAUUUAUUGGGCGUAAAGGGACCGCAGGCGGUCUGUUAAGUCUGAUGGGAAAGGCGUGGGCUUAACCGGAGUAGUGCUUGGGAAACUGGGAGACUUGAGUGCAGAAGAGGAGAGUGGAACGCCAUGUGUAGCGGUGAAAGGCGUAGAUAUAUGGAAGAACACCAGUGGCGAAAGCGGCUCUCUGGUCUGUAACUGACGCUGAGGUUCGAAAGCGUGGGUAGCAAACAGGAUUAGAGACCCAAGUAGUC